rnacentral:lncRNA from 1 species
GCUCUGAUUAAAACCUAAUCAGGAGAAAUACGAAAAAAUUAAUUCUGCUAUAUCUGAACUCCUCGAUAGGUCUGAUGGCAGGAGGUACUGUGCUGUGCAGCCAUUCAGUGUUCAUCCAGCCUGGGGUCUGCCUUACGUUUUGAAUUAUCUGCAGCUUUACCCAGUGCAGCCAGUCUUUAAUUUAAAAGAAAUGGGGGGGCGGAAAAAAAGGCACACCAACAGAGAAUAACAUUUUCAAAAGAGGCUACAAGCACAGGAAUGCAAAGCUGCAUGGUGUGGACCACUCUCCUCUUCUGGAUGAUCCUUAUUCAGCGCUGAGAAAUCCAUUUAUUUGCAGCCCUCCCAAAGUUGAGCCUUGAGCUCUCCCUGCUGAGCUCAGUGCUUGCACUUGU